AACGCUGGCGGCGUGCUUCACACAUGCAAGUCGAACGGAAAGGCCCUGCUUUUGUGGGGUGCUCGAGUGGCGCACGGGUGAGUAACACGUGAGUAACCUGCCCUUGACUUUGGGAUAACUUCAGGAAACUGGGGCUAAUACCGGAUAGGAGCUCCUGCUGCAUGGUGGGGGUUGGAAAGUUUCGGCGGUUGGGGAUGGACUCGCGGCUUAUCAGCUUGUUGGUGGGGUAGUGGCUUACCAAGGCUUUGACGGGUAGCCGGCCUGAGAGGGUGACCGGCCACAUUGGGACUGAGAUACGGCCCAGACUCCUACGGGAGGCAGCAGUGGGGAAUAUUGCACAAUGGGCGGAAGCCUGAUGCAGCAACGCCGCGUGCGGGAUGACGGCCUUCGGGUUGUAAACCGCUUUCGCCUGUGACGAAGCGUGAGUGACGGUAAUGGGUAAAGAAGCACCGGCUAACUACGUG
rnacentral:rRNA from 1 species